CACGUAGGGCGCAAGCGUUGUCCGGAAUUAUUGGGCGUAAAGAGCUCGUAGGCGGACUGUCACGUCCGCUGUGAAAAGCUGAGGUCCUUAACCUGCCUGCAGUGGAUACGGGCAGACUAGAGGUAGGUAGGGGAGAAUGGAAUUCCCGGUGUAGCGGUGAAAUGCGCAGAUAUCGGGAGGAACACCGGUGGCGAAGGCGGUUCUCUGGGCCUUACCUGACGCUGAGGAGCGAAAGCGUGGGGAGCGAACAGG
rnacentral:rRNA from 1 species